GGAGGUGCUUUGGGAACCUUGGAUUGCAUUGCCGGUCUCUGCUGAUAAUGACCACCUGCAAUUACAGGAAGUUAAAUUUUAUUGUCCUCAAGAGACAUGGGCGUUUAAAAACAUAAACCUGAUGUUUGUGACCAUUUGACCGAGCACCUGCUUCCAGCCACACAGACAAUGGCCCAACAUGCGACUGCCCUGCACCGAUGGAAGCAAUUUAAGACAUGGCUAGCAUAACCAUAACGGACUGGCUCAGGAUGUGGUGGCUUCGGGGAGCAAACGGCUUUCACUUGAGCAUUGUCAAUGUCUCUGCCCAAUGAUGCGCCUGCUGAAUCA